AUUGAACGCUGGCGGCAUGCUUUACACAUGCAAGUCGAACGGUAACAGGCCGCAAGGUGCUGACGAGUGGCGAACGGGUGAGUAAUGCAUCGGAACGUGCCCAGUCGUGGGGGAUAACUAUCCGAAAGGAUAGCUAAUACCGCAUACGAUCUGCGGAUGAAAGCGGGGGACCUUCGGGCCUCGCGCGAUUGGAGCGGCCGAUGUCAGAUUAGGUAGUUGGUGGGGUAAAGGCUCACCAAGCCAACGAUCUGUAGCUGGUCUGAGAGGACGACCAGCCACACUGGGACUGAGACACGGCACAGACUCCUACGGGAGGCAGCAGUGGGGAAUUUUGGACAAUGGGCGCAAGCCUGAUUCAGCAAUGCCGCGUGCAGGAAGAAGGCCUUCGGGUUGUAAACUGCUUUUGUACGGAACGAAACGGCUCUGGUUAAUACCUGGGGCUGAUGACGCUACCGUAAGAAUAAGCACCGGCUAACUACGUGCCAGCCGCCGCCGUAA
rnacentral:rRNA from 1 species